UACAGAGGUGGCAAGCGUUGUUCGGAAUUACUGGGCGUAAAGGGCGCGUAGGCGGCCUUCUAAGUCAGACGUGAAAUCCCCCGGCUUAACCUGGGAACUGCGUCUGAUACUGGGAGGCUUGAGUAUGGGAGAGGGAUGUAGAAUUCCAGGUGUAGCGGUGAAAUGCGUAGAUAUCUGGAGGAAUACCGGUGGCGAUGGCGGCAUCCUGGACCAUAACUGACGCUGAGGCGCGAAAGCUAGGGGAGCAAACGGG
rnacentral:rRNA from 1 species